UUGCAUGUAACAGAUUUAUUUUUCCUCACACAGUAAAAAAAUGUCCAAAGGUAGGUGGCGUCUGGAAUUAAUUCAGUCACUCAAAGAUUUAAGGACUGGCAUCCUUGUAAUUUUUUAUUGUUCACUAUCUCAAGAUGGCUUCACUCAAAAUAUUAUGUGUGCAAUUAUUUCUUUUAAAGAUUUAUGGGGUUGGGGAUUUAGCUCAGUAGUAGAGCGCUUGCCUAGCAAGCGCGAGGCCCUGGGUUCAGUCCCCAGCUCCAGAAAAAAAGGAAAAAAAAUUAUUUAUUAUAUAUAAGUACACUGUAGCUGUCUUCAGACAGACCAGAAGAGGGCAUCAGAUCCCAUAACAGAAUAUUGUGAGCCACCAUGUGUUUGCUGGGAAUUGAACUCAGGACCUCUGGAAGAGCAGUUGGUGCUCUUAACCUCUGAGCCAUCUCUCCAGCCCUAUGCAUACAUUUACAACAGAGAGAAUGAAGGAGGCAUCCCCAGCUCACACACAGAAGAAUCUUUCCUGGAAUUAUGGGGCUGUCCCAUUAUGCUUAGUAGCUAGGGUAGCAUUUCAUGGCUACCUGUAAUUGGAAAAUAUCUGAGACUCCAGGGAACCAGUUGACACGGUUGGAUUCAAUUGAUAUUGAUCCUCUUGUGGAUGGGUGCUGGGUGCAUAAUCUUCUAUGAUGAUAUUGGAGCCAUGUUUGAAUGAAGGGAAGCAGAAUGUCAGAUGCUGCCACUAGCACACACACUCCCACAAUGCCAUGUGUCUCCUAAUGUGCCUGCCUUCUGCCUCCUGCCUCAUCUCUGCUAUUGUUAGAGUCUCAGAAGUGAUCUUGUCUUCUGUAUUCCUCUGUUGGGCCUGGAUAGUGGUUUGGCACGUGGUUCUCAGUAAAAAUGGAAGGAUUUCACCAACAGACUAGCAUAUGCCAGGGAGUAUGGCAAGGGAGGGCUAGGAAGUUGAUUAAAGUCUAGUGGGGUUAGGAUGGAAAAGUCAGGUUGAGGUGUUGCCGGCAGGAUAAUAGGCUCCAUGUUUUCAGGGCCCUGAGUUUAAGCUUUCUGACGUGUUUCCUAAUGACGUCCUUUGAAUGUUGUAAGCAAUUUCUUUUCUUGCCCUUUAGGGGUGGGGGAAACAUUUAAAAAAAAAAAACCAAAACUCAUCAAUGAUCCAAUCAAAGAAAUGUCAUUCACAACAAAAUAAACCGAAGAAGAAAUCCCCCAAUGUUGCAAUUGGGCGGAUUUCAACAGCUAAUUUAUAUUUUAGUAUGGGAAUGUAAAUUAAAAGGCUAAACACUUGAAAGCCCCAAAUUAUUCCUGGUCUGACAUUAAAGUCAGGGAAUUGAUCACAUUUGCAGAAUAUAGCUAGUAAAAAGUGCUAAUUUAUGGCUAAGUAAUUAAACAGGCAGACAGAUGGAGAAUCAAAUGAGUUUUCCUCACAUCCCAAUUUGCAUACUGUUCCUGAUGGUGCCUGUUCUCACUUUGGUGGACGGUACCCUCCAGCACUGAAGUACAUGGGGAGAUAUGUAAGUCACUUUCGCUGCCACGUAUUUGGAGAUGCUAAGGGGGAGAUCUGCAGAUCAUAGACGUGGCAAAACAAGUCCUCGGUCAGGGGUCUCUCUCCUGCUCUCAACAUGCUGAUUUCCCUUAUAGGAGAGGCAGGCAAUGGCAGAUAACAAAAUUCUCUCUUCUCCACUGAGUGAUAGAAAGGGCAGUACACCACCUCACCCCAGCUUCUCAGUUGAAUGGCAGCUGACAGCUCUCCCUUUCUCCGUCCUGGUUUCUCCUAAAACAGAGUUCAUGUUGCUUAACUUGCUUCAGGGAAGCAGGGCAGAGCGAUAAAAGCAAGAGUUCUCUUUUUAAUAAUGAAUCAAACACCUAUUGGCUGAGUAACCUUGGAUACAUUAGUUUAACUACCAUGAGCUAAAGUUUCUUAUCAGCAAAAGGGGCAUGCUGGGUAAUUACUCCAUACGAAACCUGGUCUUUAAUAACCACCACUCAAAUGUUGGCACUUAUUAUCUCUAAGAUUCUCCUCUGCAGUAAGAGCCUCCGAGUCUACAAGUUAAAGUACGAAGGAAAGUGACUUAAUUACAGUGAAUGCAGCCCGUUCCUACCUGCGCAAACUGGCAAGUUCUGGAAAUUACUAGCAGAGCUUAUUUAACUUUCCAGAUAGUAUCUGUGCUGGCCUUGACUCCACGGUACCACCAGAAGAAAGACCGUAGUCUCUUCUAGGCUGUGUGCCUAGGUGCUGGGGCAGCCGCUGGCUGUGGCCCCUGGACCAGUAUUGUGCUUAUAUUAUCCUGUAAUAUGGCUGAAAGGGGACUUGCACAGGAAAUGGAGUCUUCUCUGUCUCCUAUGACUUCAAUCCCUUCAGCAGAGAGGAUUGGAAGUGUGUGUCCUUGGGAUUAGCAAGGUGCUUGAGCUCUCACCCAUCCUCACUUACAAGGUGUCACCCUGGGGAGAGAAGCGAUUGUCUUUUGCUGGAUUUUGAACCCUCCUGGAUAGACACUCCCCAUGACCAAGUUCCAGUUGGUCGUACGUCUCAUUUCAUGUCCAUCUGUGUGUGGAAGUCAAUUAUUUGGGGUCAUAACAGAUGAAAAAUAAGACUAAAAGAGAUCCCAGUGUCCAUCACCCCUGGCAACCAGGUGCUGUUUCUUGUGCAUUCUCUUGAAUGUCUCAGUGACGCCGCUGUGCCCCUUCCUGGAGAGUGAGAACCAGUUCUGCACGAGGCGAUGGGAGCUUUACUCUGACUUUCUUAUGUUGAGAUCCGCCCCCGCCUACAACAUAGCUGUCGCCACUUGUUCCAGGCCUGCCAGCUAUUUCAUAUUGUUGCUGUAAUAUGCCUGCCAGUCACUGACACAGGAAAAAACAAAACAAAACUUGAUUCAGAGCAGGGUCAUGCUGACCACACCCUGUUAUGUUCUGAAUGUUCUGAGGUUUGUUAAUCUUUUUUUUUUUUUUUUUUUUGGUUCUAUUUUUCAGAGCUGGGGACCGAACCCAGGGCCUUGUGCUUCCUAGGUAAGCACUCUACCACUGAGCUAAAUCCCCAGCCCCGUUAAUCUUUUCUUUUAAAGAUUUAUUUACUAUAUUUAUAUGAGUGCACUGUAGCUGUUUUCAGAUGAGGGCAUCAGAUCUCAUUACAGAUGGUUGGGAGCCACCAUGUGGUUGCUGGGAAUUGAAUCUCAGGACCUCUGGAAGAGCAGACAGUGCUUUUAACCGUUGAGCCCUCACCCCAGCCCCCAGGUUUGUUAGUCUUAAGAAAUUCCACAAAGCUACACAUAGGGCCCAUCAAGUUAAAGUUCAAUAUGAACUGUUGUUAUGUCUAAAAUGGCUUGAGUUGGAGCUGACCUCUGGGCAACACUUCCUGCACUUGGGUAUGGGUAUGUGGUGUGUGUGUGUGUGUGUGUGUGUGUGUGUGUGUGUGUUUCCUUUAUGAGCUGAAGAAAAGGUGUUCAGGGUCGUAGCCUCAGAUAAUUCUGAGUUAUGGUCCUGAUCAGUCUGUCUUAGGGUGUACAUCCCAUAAACCAAAUCCCUGUCUGGCUGAGAUGGUGUUAAUGUGGUUUGUGGGUGACUCUUGGACCCCAAUACUUACUUUAUUUAUUUAGUGACAGGGUUUCACUAGGUAGUGCAGUCUGGUCUCAAACUCACAAAAAGAUCUGAUACCUGCUCUGCCCUUCUGCCUCCAGAGUGCCAGUAUUAAAUAGGUGUGUGCACCACGCCUGCUCCCCUACUUAAAUCUCAAGCAAAAUAACAUGAGAGGGAAUACCAGUUCUCCUAGUCAAUGUCCUAUUUCUCUAAAGGGACACCACGACCACGGCAAGUCUCAUAAAGGAAACAUUUAGUGGGGGCUGGCUUACAGGGUUCAGAGAUUUAGUGCAUAUCAUCAUGGUGGGAAGUGUGGGGAUACAGGCAGACAUGGUACGGAGAAGGAGCCAAGAGUUCUACCUCUGGAUCAGCAGGCAGCAGGAAGAGAGUGGCACUGGGCCUGGCUUGAGCAUUUGAAACCUCAAAGCCCACCUCCAAUGACACACCUCCUCCAACAAGGCCACACCUCCUCCAACAAGGCCACACCUCCUCCAACAAGGCCACACCUCCUCCAACAAGGCCACACCUUCUCCAACAAGGCCACACCUCCUCCAACAAGGCCAUACCUCCUCCCAGGCCACACCUCCUCAACAAGGCCACACCUCCUCCAACAAGGCCACACCUCCUCCAACAAGGCCACACCUACUCCAACAAGGUUACAGUUCCUAUUCUAGUCCCUAAGCAUUCAAAGACGAGUCUGUGGGGGCCAUUCCUAUUCAAGACGCCGCACUGGAUUUUUUCCACUCGUGCCUCCGUCCAUUCAUCCUUGGUGCCCAGGAAGGUUAUUGUUAUGAUCGAAGGGAUGGACGCAACAGAGUCACGACAGAUCUCACGUGGGAGUUUUAUUGAGGAGAGGGGUAUACAGGGACUGCCUCUGGGUGAGGGUGGAGGGGAAAGAGAGUGGGGAGAGGAGGGAUUUGCCUUUUAAAAGGGCUGUAGCGCAUGCGCAAGGAGAGGAUACACGACUACCCCGGCAACAGCAGCAGUAAUGUGUCACAUCUUGGCAGCUACUGAUGAUGUCUGCUGUUGCUGGGUCCCUGGGCAGGCAUGGAGAUGCCUUAUUGCAGAAGUAGAUGGCCUUCAUUGCUGUUUUGCCUUGGGUUUGGCCAGAGGAAGGCACUGGCAGUAGAACAGAGGGUAGAAGGUUGAACUUUGGGGAUUUCUUGUGUUUCCUCUUUGUUACGUGGCUUGAGUUUUCUCUCUACCAAUGCCUUGUUUCCAUUGGGCUGUCAAAGGAAUGAGUAAGCUCCUUUCCACUUAGUGCUACCACAGCAUCACUGUUACCCUGUAUCAUUGCUAUUUGAAAAUAAAAACACCAGGGUUAAUAUGAACUGAAAAUUCUCUGGAAGAAAAAAAAAAGAGCUUAAAAAAAAAAAAAACCACUUCGAAAGCAGCUGAUUUAAAAAUAAUAAAAUCAGGGCCUCAACAUAGGACGUGCCUCAGAACCAAACCAUCCAAACCAAUCAAACCAAACGGAGUAUGAUCCUGGGAAGAGAGUGGUGGCGGGAUGGAGUAGAUACCCACAGGUUGCCCUUUGUCCUCUCCAUGCACUCUAUGGCAUGUAGGUGCCCGUGCACAUACACAUGCAUGUGCAAAAAACUAAAGAUGUAAUAAAAAUUCAUAAAAGUAAAAUUAAUUUAUGGCCUUACCCUUUUAUUGACAUUUUUAUAUCUCUAAAAGUGUUUUCAAGUUUAUUCCUUAAUUUCUUUUUCUAAUUAUUUUUUUUAAAGAAUACUUCAUUUAAUUUUGACAGUUUUGUGACUCUGUCACAUUUUCUCCUCUAAUAGACCCUAACACCAUUGCGCUGUGCUCAGAAAGCAAACUUUUUUUUUUGGUUCUUUUUUUUCGGAGCUGGGGACCGAACCCAGGGCCUUGCGCUUCCUAGGCAAGCGCUCUACCACUGAGCUAAAUCCCCAACCCCAGAAAGCAAACUUCUAAAGAUGAGAUUGAUGGUCUGGUGCAACGCCCUUCCUGGAGAAGUUCCUCAUGUGCUCCAGAUGCCUGGGCAUUUUUCUCCUGUGGUUGGAGAGCUCUGAGUGUGUUACCGUUAUUAUAGGCUUUUAAGGAUUCCUUUUCACUUCCAAUUGUUCAAACCUCCUGAAGAUCUGAUGGCUGUUUCACCUAUUACUGAAAGUGGAAUUUGAGCUCUUCAAAAUUAUUGAUAAUUAGUGUAUUUUCCCUUUAUACCUGUUCUCUUCCCCUCUUCAUUCUUUGCUUCCUGUAGUUUAGGGCUCUGUAGUGGGAUGUGCAUGUGUUUAUAACUUCGUUUUUGGAUGAGUUGUUGUAAACCUUCUCCUGGCCUCUAGAGUUCUGAGGUAGUGGGUUCUGUUAAGUUGUGCUGAUUUCUUGCUACUUUUAUGGAGGGCUACCCUUCUGGAGGCCCUUACUCCCGCUGUCCUGCCCUGCUGGCCUCUUUCUAAUGAGACCAAGGUCCUUGGAACUUUCAAAGAAUGAUAUUGUACUCACUGUGCAUUCUUAGAAACACCUCUUCCGGGCCUGGAGAGGGAGCCCAGUGGUUAAGGGCACUGGCUGCUUUUGCAGAGAGGAUUGGUCCCCAGCACUGAUGUUGGUGACUCCUAAACACUGGUAACUCUAGGUUCUCGGGAUCCGACCUCCUCUUCUGAACUGUGGGCACCAGCAUACACACGCUGGCAAACACUCAAACAUGUACAAUAAAAUCUUAAAAAAAUAAAAAAAAUGGUUUCCCCUCGGACCAUCGCUUUUAUUUAAAGUCUGAAAACAAUUAGAAAAGACUGGGCUGAACUAAACUUGACCCUAUUAACAGCUACCAAACUGAUCACAUUCACAGGAACAUAAGAGGCGAGGUACGGUCUAGAGAACGCAUCUAAUUUGCAGAUUUUAUUUUAGCGUUGCUGGAGAAGUUAAUCCGGUGAAUCUAUGUUAAGUGUUCGCUCUCCUGACCGUCUUGAUAGCUGGGGUGCUAUUUCUUGAUCUGCAUCUCACAGUCAUCAGCAUUAAAAAUAAGAGGCUACGCACAGGGCCGAAGAGAAGGCUCCACAGUUAAGAACAUACACCACUCUGGCAGAGGACCCAAGUUCACUUCCCACAACUGCCAUGUUAAGCAUCUCACAACUGCCUGUAACUGCAGUUCCAGGGGACCUGGCACUUUUCUCUGGGCGUUUGCAUAAGUGCACUCCUAUAGGAACCACAGCCCACUCCUGGGCUCAAAAUUUAAAAUAAUCCUAUUCUAUGAGCGGCUGCCUCUUCCUCAGAAUGACUCUGAUCAUGUCCCUCUCAAUAGAGAGACACUUGAUGGGGAUUUGCCCACUGUGUAAAGAUUUCAUCCAAGGAGAGGCUCACUUUGAUUUUUGUCCAAGCCUGCUGACAUCCUACAAAGGUUAGCAGCAAAACUGUGGAAAAUAAUUAAUGAUUAAAACAGUAAACAAGCAAAAGGGCAUAAGAAAGGAAAUCCCACGGAACCCAAGAUGUGAAGGGUAAAGCAGAGUGCUGGAAACCAACGUGUGCUGAAAUAGCAAUGUUAACUCCUUCACGAACCACUAGUAGGAAAAGAGUAGCUAAGUUACUGUACUCGUUAGUUACACUUUCUUUUAAUUAUUGGCCAGCCAUUCCAAAUUUCAUUUGUACUUUGCUCCGUCCCAGAUACACCGUGCCACAGGUGCAUCCUGGGCCUUUGGUCAUAUCAUCACUUCUUGAGAUGUCAUUUACUUUCUUAGAUUGUAUGGGCUACAUAGUGUAGCCUAAGACUGGAGUAGAGCUCAGUGGUGGGGCGCUUGCCCAGUGCACAAAGCCUGGAGUUCCAUCCCCAGUUGUGUGUGUGUGUGUGUGUGUGUGUGUGUGUGUGUUCAUAUGUGUGCAUCUCUCUCUCUCUCUCUCUGCGUGUGUGUGUGUGUGUGUGUGUGUGUAUGUGUGUGUAUGUCUUAGGGUUUCUAUUGCUGUGAUGAACCACCAUGACCAAAAAGCAUGCUGGGGAGAAAAGGGUUUAUUUGGCUUACACUUCCACAUCACUGCUCAUCACUGAAGGAAGUUGGGGUGGGAACCUGGAGGCAGGAGCUGAUGCAGAGGCCAGGGAGGGGUGUUACUGCCUUGCUUCCUAUGCUGGUUCAGCCUGCUUUCUUAUACAACCCAGAACCAGCAGUCCAGGGAUGGUAUCACCUACAAAGGGCUGGGCCAUUCCAGACCAAUCAUCAAUUAAGAAAAUGCUCUACCAUUUGCUUACAGCCUGGUCUUAUGAGGACAUUUUCUUAAUUGAGAUUUUCCUCUUCUCAGAUGACUUCAGCUUUUGUGACAUUAACACAAAACUAUCCAGCAUGGUGUAUGUAUGUGUGUAUGUGUGUGUAUAUAUGUAUGUAUGUAUGUAUGUGUGUACAUGUAUGUAUGCAUGUAACUGUGUUUACAUAUAUGUAGGGAUGUAUGUGUGUGAACGUAUGCUUGCAUAUGUGCUUAUAUGCAUGUAUAUAUGUAAGCACGUACACGGGUCUAUGGUCUAUGCCAGUUAUUUCUUCUUCUCUAAGAACACCAAGCACAGCCUCUUGUCCUAAAUAGUUAUUUAAAAAAAUUUUGUCUUACAUUUGGGGAUUUAAACAUUAAGAACAAGAAAGAACAAAAAAGACUUAUAGGCAAAAUAGGGUCAGAAGCAAUUUAAGUAGAACCUUAUGGCUGUGUGUUAAAAUGGUAGGACAGCAAACCUAAGAAUAAAAGAUAAAAACAAAACAAAAACAACUGAAGACAUGCUUCAGGAGCCAAGGUUGUUUACUUCCGAAGGGUGUUCUUGUAAAGGGCUGGGGGAACAGCUCAGUGGGCCAAGUGCUUGUCUCUCAAGUACCUCAGUUUGACCGCCAGGACCCCGAGGAUGACACUGGAGGUUGUCCUCUGGCCUCCAUGUGUACCGCUCCACAUGUAUGCACACACUGGUACACAUAAAUAAAAGAGGGACACAGAAGCCUCCUCCUUAGCUCCUCGCUGUGUGGAUGAGUGGACAGGUCUGCCAGUUAGACCGAAGGCUUUUGUUUCAUCUUGAAAGACCCCAGCUUAGCAGCAGUAACGCCAUUUUACAAGGCUGUACUUAAGAUGACUGGUUCAGAGAAAGGUUAAAACACUGAGUACAAAACAGCUGCCAAGCAGGAUGUGUUUGGUUGAAGGCCUGGCAACAGGACGACUGCGGUUGAGCACCUGACAAUGAAAAAAGCCCCGGGAGAGGUCCCACACCCUGGUGGGGGGCCGAGUCAGUAGUUAUGUUCCAAGAAGGUAGCUAGGAAACUUGCCCCCGGGCUGAACCCUUGGGGGGCCGAGUCAGCCGUUAUGUUUCAGGAAGGUAGCUAGGAAACUUGCCCCCGGGCUAAACCCUUGCCAUAUUAGAAUCCACCAAUUAUAUCCCUGUAACCAUGCAUCUGCUUCUGUAUGCUUGCUUCUGCUCCCCAAAAUCCUAUAAAAGCCCAUCCUUGGUUCUGUGGGGCGCGCCAGUCCCCCGAGUGACUGAAGCGCCCGCAGGUGCCUGUGCCUGUGUAUCCCAACAAUAAACCAAAUCCUCUUGCUGAUUGCAUCCUGUGGUGUCUCGGUCUGGUCUUUGGAGUUAGAGGGUCUCCAUCCCGAGGGAAAGUUCUCCCUGAGAGCUUUUCAUUUGGUGCGUUGGCCGGGAAAGGAGAUCCUCCACCCAGGGACCACCGACCACCCACUGGGAGGUAAGCCGGCCGGCAUCUGUCUGUCUGUCUGAUUUUGUCUCGUUCUGUCUUAUUCUGUCUGUUCUGUGAGCGCUCAGCCAGGUUCUGUGAGCGCUCAGCCAGGUCUGUUCUGUGAGCGCUCAGCCAGGUCUAUUCUGUGAGUGCUCAGCCAGGUCUGUUCUGUGAGUGCUCAGCCAGGUUCUGUGAGCGCUCAGCCAGGUCUGUUCUGUGAGCGCUCAGCCAGGUUGUUUGGAAUUUGGGCGGGACGAAGAAGGAGCUGACGAGCUCGGACUUCUCGCCCCGCAGCCCUGGAAGACGUUCCAAGGGUGUUAGGGGCCCGACUUUUCGGGGCCCAAUCUGGGAGAGGAGAAAGAUCCGGACUAACGGCACCUCUGUCUGUAUUUUUGGCUUUCAGAGGGCCCCGGACCUUUGCCACCUCCAUCUGACUUUUUGCUUUCAGUUUGGUACCAAAGCCGUGCAGCACGCCUGUCUGUUGUUUGUUUGACUGUUGGUGUUGUUUGUUUUCUCUGUGUUCUAAUCUUCCUUAGAACUAACAUGGGACAGUCCCUAACAACGCCCCUAAGUCUCACUCUUGAUCAUUAGAAAGACGUCCACGACCAGGCACACAACCAGUCCGUCGAGGUUAAAAAAAAAAAAGAGGAAAAUGAGACUCUCUACACAUCCGAGUGGCCCACUUUCAGAGCAGGAUGGCCAGUGAAUGACACAUUUAAUAAGAUCAUUAUUUUACAGGUUAAAGAUCGGGUCGUCCACGGACAUCCUGACCAGGUUUCUUAUAUUAUCACUUGAGAGAGUCUUGCCUUAACCCCCCCCCAGGCGGAACCCUUCAUGGACCCGAAUUGGCCUCCCCUCAACCCCCAGCCUGUCCCCUCGGCCCCGCCCGGUCCGCCGGCCAUGUCUUUCUCUCUCUACCUUUGUGAACUAAGAAACCUGUCCUCCCGGCAGACCCAAACUCCCCUCUCAUAGAUCUUCUCUCUGACAGGCCCGGCUGAAACGGAGGAGGCAGAGCCGCCGGCCAGAUCAGUUGCCGGGCCACAGUCUGAUAAGGGUUUCUCCCCUGUCGCAGGGAGAUUGCGCAAUAAGCGCGAGGUGAUGCCAGAUUCAACCUCCCAGGUUUUCCCACUUAGACAGGGAACCGGUGGCCAGACCCAAUACUGGCCGUUUUAAACAACACAACCCUUCUUUCUCCAAAGAUCCGGUGACACUCACCGACCUAAUAGAAUCUGUUUUACUUACCCACCAGCCUACUUGGGAUGACUGCUCCAAAGAUCCGGUGGCACUCACCGACCUAAUAGAAUCUGUUUUACUUACUCACCAGCCUACUUGGGAUGACUGCCAACAGCUCUUACAGGCCCUCUUAACCUCAGAAGAAAAACAAAGAGUGUUCCUAGAGGCCAGAAAGCAUGUUCUGGGAGAUGAUGGGCGUCCCACCCAGCUGCCUGAGGAAAUUGAUGCUGCAUUCCCACUUAAGAGACCAAACUGAGAUUUUAAUACAGCUGAAGGUAAGGGACACCUACGCCUUUAUCGCCAGUUGCUUCUAGCGGGUCUCCGAGGGGCUAUACGACGCCCUACUAAUUUGGCUCAGGUAAAACAGGUAUUACAGGAAGCAGGAGAAACUCCCUCCGCCUUUCUAGAGAGAUUUAAGGAGGCCUACCGUAUGUACACUCCCUAUGACCCAGAUGACCCAGGACAAAUGACGAGUGUCUCUAUGUCCUUCAUCUGGCAGGCUGCUCCAGAUAUCAGGACUAAGUUACAGAGGUUAGAAAAUUUGCAGGGCUAUACAUUACAGGAUUUACUUAAAGAAGCUGAAAAGAUUUUUAAUAAGAGAGAGAAUUGAGUCGAAUCUUGGCCGCCGUAGUUCAGGGCCAAGAAAGGAAGGGAGAUAGGGGGGAGCUCGAAAGGGGCUGAAGCUGGAUAAAGAUCAAUGUGCCUAUUACAAAGAGAAAGGGCACUGGGCUAGAGAGUGCCCCAAGAAGCCUGGCGGACCCCGAAAGCCUCGACCACGAACCUCCCUCUUGGCUCUAGAUAAAGAUUAGGGAGGUCAGGGCCAGGAGCCCCCCCCCCCCCUGAGCCCAGGGUAACGCUUAAAGUUGGGGGGCAGCCGGUUACUUUCCUGAUAGACACAGGAGCCCAGCAUUCAGUCCUCACUCAAGCUUCAGGACAACUCAGCGACCGGACGGCCUGGGUACAAAGAGCUACUGGUGAGAAACAAUACCGAUGGACUACGGACCGCCGGGUUCAGCUGGCUACUGGUAAGGUGACCCAUUCCUUCUUACAUGUUCCGGACUGCCCGUACCCCCUGCUGGGCCGUGACCUGCUCACCAAACUAAAAGCACAAAUUCAUUUUGAGGAAGGAGGGGCCCAAAUAACUGGCCCCCACGGAACUCCCCUUCAAGUUCUAACCCUACAACUAGAGGAUGAAUAUAGACUAUAUGAACCGGGACAGGACAAGCCACAAUCCCUAGAAAUAAACACUUGGGUCACGAAUUUUCCACUGGCUUGGGCAGAGACUGGUGGGAUGGGGUUGGCGCUCCAACAGCCCCCCUUAAUUAUACAGUUAAAGGCCACUACAACUCCAGUCUCCAUAAAACAAUACCCCCUGUCACAUAAAGCUUAUAAGGCCUCACAUUACGAGGCUUCUAGAUCAAGGCAUCCUAGUCCCCUGCCGGUCGCCUUGGAAUACGCCUCUUCUGCCUGUUAAGAAACCCGGCACUGGAGAUUAUAGGCCAAUACAAGACUUGAGAAAGGUCAACAAGAGGAUAAAAGAUAUUCAUCCGACUGUUCCAAACCCUUACAAUUUGCUCAGUAACUGUUCACUGGAUGCAGAACAGGUUCAGUUUGGACCCGUAGUCGCCCUCAAUCCUGCCACCUUGCUUCCUCUACCAGAGGAGACAAAACAGCAUGACUGCCUACAAAUCCUCGCAGAAGUACAUGGAACCAGGCCGGACCUAUCGGACCAGCCUCUUCAGAAUGCUGACCACACAUGGUACACGGAUGACAACAGCUUCUUGGCAGAGGGAGAGCGAAAGGCUGGAGCUGCGGUCACUACGGAGGACAAAGUGAUUUGGGCGAAAGCCCUGCCUGCUGGUACCUCCGCACAACGGGCUGAACUCAUCGCCUUGACUCAGGCGCUCAAGAUGGCAAAAGGUAAGAGGCUAAAUGUAUAUACAGACAGCCGUUAUGCCUUUGCCACGGCACACAUCCACGGGGAGAUCUACCGGAGGCGGGGGCUGCUCACAUCUGAGGGUAAAGAUAUGGCUAAAAUUCUGGCCCUCUUAGAAGCCCUAUUCUUGCCCAAAAGACUGAGUACAUUGUCCAGGACACCAGAAAGGGCACAACCCAGAGGCACGAAGAAACCGGCUGGCCGAUGCCACGGCGCGAAAAGCGGCCAUGAGCAAACAAAUCUUGUCCUUAAAUAGCCCAGACCAACCCACGCCCCCACCAGUGGGACAAACCAGUUGGGUUUACGCCCAUGAGGACAUAGAGCUCCUAAAAAAAAAUGGGGGCCAUCUACCACCCUCAACUAAAACAGUGGGUCUACAAAGGACUUUUGAAUUGAUCUCCUUUUUACAUAAAUUAACCCAAUUGGGGUUUAAGAAGAUGAAAACCUUACUAGAUCGGGAAGAGAUAAAUCUGUGUUUUUUGAAUCGGGACAAAGCGAUACAAAAGGUGACUGAGAGUUGCAAAGUGUGCGCUCAGGUUAACCCGGGAAGGACCAGGAUUGGACAAGGAGUUCGUCCUAGGGGACACCGUCCCGACAUCCAUUGGGAAAUUGAUUUUACUGAAAUUAAACCAGGUAUAUAUGGAUACAAGUAUCUCCUAGUGUUUGUAGACACCUUCUCAGGAUGGGUCGAAGCCUUCCCCACAAAGCACGAGACUACAAAAAUCCUCCAAGAAGCUCCUCGAGGAAAUCUUUCCCAGGUAUGACAUGCCUCAAGCGUUGGGGUCAGACAACGGGCCCGCUUUCGUCUCCCAAGUAAGUCAGUUGGUGGCCAAAUUGCUGGGGAUUGAUUGGAAAUUACAUUGUGCCUAUAGACCCCAGAGUUCAGGUCAGGUAGAACGCAUGAAUAGAACAAUUAAGGAGACUUUCUCCAAACUUAUGCUUGCAACUGGCUCAAAGGAUUGGGUGGCCCUCCUUCCCCUAGUUCUAUAUCGGGCCCGGAAUACCCCGGGCCCCCAUGGUCUAACUUCUUUUGAAAUAAUAUAUAGAGCACCACCCCCAUUUGUCCAUUUCUUUGAUUCAAACAUUGCUGAUUUUGCUGACAGCCCUUCUCUGAGGGCCCAUUUACAGGCCCUACAGAUUGUACAGAGAGACGUCUGGAGACCUUUGGCCGCUGCUUACCAGGACAAGCUUGAACAUCCGGUGGUGCCACACCCGUUCCAGAUUAGAGACACCGUGUGGGUGCACAGACACCAGACCAAGAAUCUCGAGCCACGGUGGAAAGGACCCUACACCGUCCUCCUGACUACCCCGACCGCCCUAAAGGUAGACGGAGUCUCGGCUUAGAUCCACACACCACACGUCAAGGCAGUCCGGUCUGAGGAAUUGACUAAUCACAACACUACACCCCAGACAUGGAGAGUUCAGCGCACUCCAAACCCCUUAAAGUUAAAACUCCUACGUGGCUCCUCCUAGUCCUUUUGUGGCCUAGAGUCAGUGGGGGAAUAAGCCCCCACUAGACAGAAAUUUCUUGACCAAGUCGAGUGAAAGAUUUCACUCAAAGUUAGCAAAAAAAAAAAAAAUGGGGGAAUGAAAGACCCCAGCUUAGCAGCAGUAACGCCAUUUUACAAGGCUGUACUUAAGAUGACUGGUUCAGAGAAAGGUUAAAACACUGAGUACAAAACAGCUGCCAAGCAGGAUGUGUUUGGUUGAAGGCCUGGCAACAGGACGACUGCGGUUGAGCACCUGACAAUGAAAAAAGCCCCGGGAGAGGUCCCACACCCUGGUGGGGGGCCGAGUCAGUAGUUAUGUUCCAAGAAGGUAGCUAGGAAACUUGCCCCCGGGCUGAACCCUUGGGGGGCCGAGUCAGCCGUUAUGUUUCAGGAAGGUAGCUAGGAAACUUGCCCCCGGGCUAAACCCUUGCCAUAUUAGAAUCCACCAAUUAUAUCCCUGUAACCAUGCAUCUGCUUCUGUAUGCUUGCUUCUGCUCCCCAAAAUCCUAUAAAAGCCCAUCCUUGGUUCUGUGGGGCGCGCCAGUCCCCCGAGUGACUGAAGCGCCCGCAGGUGCCUGUGCCUGUGUAUCCCAACAAUAAACCAAAUCCUCUUGCUGAUUGCAUCCUGUGGUGUCUCGGUCUGGUCUUUGGAGUUAGAGGGUCUCCAUCCCGAGGGAAAGUUCUCCCUGAGAGCUUUUCAUUUGGUGCGUUGGCCGGGAAAGGAGAUCCUCCACCCAGGGACCACCGACCACCCACUGGGAGGUAAGCCGGCCGGCAUCUGUCUGUCUGUCUGAUUUUGUCUCGUUCUGUCUUAUUCUGUCUGUUCUGUGAGCGCUCAGCCAGGUUCUGUGAGCGCUCAGCCAGGUCUGUUCUGUGAGCGCUCAGCCAGGUCUAUUCUGUGAGUGCUCAGCCAGGUCUGUUCUGUGAGUGCUCAGCCAGGUUCUGUGAGCGCUCAGCCAGGUCUGUUCUGUGAGCGCUCAGCCAGGUUGUUUGGAAUUUGGGCGGGACGAAGAAGGAGCUGACGAGCUCGGACUUCUCGCCCCGCAGCCCUGGAAGACGUUCCAAGGGUGUUAGGGGCCCGACUUUUCGGGGCCCAAUCUGGGAGAGGAGAAAGAUCCGGACUAACGGCACCUCUGUCUGUAUUUUUGGCUUUCAGAGGGCCCCGGACCUUUGCCACCUCCAUCUGACUUUUUGCUUUCAGUUUGGUACCAAAGCCGUGCAGCACGCCUGUCUGUUGUUUGUUUGACUGUUGGUGUUGUUUGUUUUCUCUGUGUUCUAAUCUUCCUUAGAACUAACAUGGGACAGUCCCUAACAACGCCCCUAAGUCUCACUCUUGAUCAUUAGAAAGACGUCCACGACCAGGCACACAACCAGUCCGUCGAGGUUAAAAAAAAAAAAGAGGAAAAUGAGACUCUCUACACAUCCGAGUGGCCCACUUUCAGAGCAGGAUGGCCAGUGAAUGACACAUUUAAUAAGAUCAUUAUUUUACAGGUUAAAGAUCGGGUCGUCCACGGACAUCCUGACCAGGUUUCUUAUAUUAUCACUUGAGAGAGUCUUGCCUUAACCCCCCCCCAGGCGGAACCCUUCAUGGACCCGAAUUGGCCUCCCCUCAACCCCCAGCCUGUCCCCUCGGCCCCGCCCGGUCCGCCGGCCAUGUCUUUCUCUCUCUACCUUUGUGAACUAAGAAACCUGUCCUCCCGGCAGACCCAAACUCCCCUCUCAUAGAUCUUCUCUCUGACAGGCCCGGCUGAAACGGAGGAGGCAGAGCCGCCGGCCAGAUCAGUUGCCGGGCCACAGUCUGAUAAGGGUUUCUCCCCUGUCGCAGGGAGAUUGCGCAAUAAGCGCGAGGUGAUGCCAGAUUCAACCUCCCAGGUUUUCCCACUUAGACAGGGAACCGGUGGCCAGACCCAAUACUGGCCGUUUUAAACAACACAACCCUUCUUUCUCCAAAGAUCCGGUGACACUCACCGACCUAAUAGAAUCUGUUUUACUUACCCACCAGCCUACUUGGGAUGACUGCUCCAAAGAUCCGGUGGCACUCACCGACCUAAUAGAAUCUGUUUUACUUACUCACCAGCCUACUUGGGAUGACUGCCAACAGCUCUUACAGGCCCUCUUAACCUCAGAAGAAAAACAAAGAGUGUUCCUAGAGGCCAGAAAGCAUGUUCUGGGAGAUGAUGGGCGUCCCACCCAGCUGCCUGAGGAAAUUGAUGCUGCAUUCCCACUUAAGAGACCAAACUGAGAUUUUAAUACAGCUGAAGGUAAGGGACACCUACGCCUUUAUCGCCAGUUGCUUCUAGCGGGUCUCCGAGGGGCUAUACGACGCCCUACUAAUUUGGCUCAGGUAAAACAGGUAUUACAGGAAGCAGGAGAAACUCCCUCCGCCUUUCUAGAGAGAUUUAAGGAGGCCUACCGUAUGUACACUCCCUAUGACCCAGAUGACCCAGGACAAAUGACGAGUGUCUCUAUGUCCUUCAUCUGGCAGGCUGCUCCAGAUAUCAGGACUAAGUUACAGAGGUUAGAAAAUUUGCAGGGCUAUACAUUACAGGAUUUACUUAAAGAAGCUGAAAAGAUUUUUAAUAAGAGAGAGAAUUGAGUCGAAUCUUGGCCGCCGUAGUUCAGGGCCAAGAAAGGAAGGGAGAUAGGGGGGAGCUCGAAAGGGGCUGAAGCUGGAUAAAGAUCAAUGUGCCUAUUACAAAGAGAAAGGGCACUGGGCUAGAGAGUGCCCCAAGAAGCCUGGCGGACCCCGAAAGCCUCGACCACGAACCUCCCUCUUGGCUCUAGAUAAAGAUUAGGGAGGUCAGGGCCAGGAGCCCCCCCCCCCCCUGAGCCCAGGGUAACGCUUAAAGUUGGGGGGCAGCCGGUUACUUUCCUGAUAGACACAGGAGCCCAGCAUUCAGUCCUCACUCAAGCUUCAGGACAACUCAGCGACCGGACGGCCUGGGUACAAAGAGCUACUGGUGAGAAACAAUACCGAUGGACUACGGACCGCCGGGUUCAGCUGGCUACUGGUAAGGUGACCCAUUCCUUCUUACAUGUUCCGGACUGCCCGUACCCCCUGCUGGGCCGUGACCUGCUCACCAAACUAAAAGCACAAAUUCAUUUUGAGGAAGGAGGGGCCCAAAUAACUGGCCCCCACGGAACUCCCCUUCAAGUUCUAACCCUACAACUAGAGGAUGAAUAUAGACUAUAUGAACCGGGACAGGACAAGCCACAAUCCCUAGAAAUAAACACUUGGGUCACGAAUUUUCCACUGGCUUGGGCAGAGACUGGUGGGAUGGGGUUGGCGCUCCAACAGCCCCCCUUAAUUAUACAGUUAAAGGCCACUACAACUCCAGUCUCCAUAAAACAAUACCCCCUGUCACAUAAAGCUUAUAAGGCCUCACAUUACGAGGCUUCUAGAUCAAGGCAUCCUAGUCCCCUGCCGGUCGCCUUGGAAUACGCCUCUUCUGCCUGUUAAGAAACCCGGCACUGGAGAUUAUAGGCCAAUACAAGACUUGAGAAAGGUCAACAAGAGGAUAAAAGAUAUUCAUCCGACUGUUCCAAACCCUUACAAUUUGCUCAGUAACUGUUCACUGGAUGCAGAACAGGUUCAGUUUGGACCCGUAGUCGCCCUCAAUCCUGCCACCUUGCUUCCUCUACCAGAGGAGACAAAACAGCAUGACUGCCUACAAAUCCUCGCAGAAGUACAUGGAACCAGGCCGGACCUAUCGGACCAGCCUCUUCAGAAUGCUGACCACACAUGGUACACGGAUGACAACAGCUUCUUGGCAGAGGGAGAGCGAAAGGCUGGAGCUGCGGUCACUACGGAGGACAAAGUGAUUUGGGCGAAAGCCCUGCCUGCUGGUACCUCCGCACAACGGGCUGAACUCAUCGCCUUGACUCAGGCGCUCAAGAUGGCAAAAGGUAAGAGGCUAAAUGUAUAUACAGACAGCCGUUAUGCCUUUGCCACGGCACACAUCCACGGGGAGAUCUACCGGAGGCGGGGGCUGCUCACAUCUGAGGGUAAAGAUAUGGCUAAAAUUCUGGCCCUCUUAGAAGCCCUAUUCUUGCCCAAAAGACUGAGUACAUUGUCCAGGACACCAGAAAGGGCACAACCCAGAGGCACGAAGAAACCGGCUGGCCGAUGCCACGGCGCGAAAAGCGGCCAUGAGCAAACAAAUCUUGUCCUUAAAUAGCCCAGACCAACCCACGCCCCCACCAGUGGGACAAACCAGUUGGGUUUACGCCCAUGAGGACAUAGAGCUCCUAAAAAAAAAUGGGGGCCAUCUACCACCCUCAACUAAAACAGUGGGUCUACAAAGGACUUUUGAAUUGAUCUCCUUUUUACAUAAAUUAACCCAAUUGGGGUUUAAGAAGAUGAAAACCUUACUAGAUCGGGAAGAGAUAAAUCUGUGUUUUUUGAAUCGGGACAAAGCGAUACAAAAGGUGACUGAGAGUUGCAAAGUGUGCGCUCAGGUUAACCCGGGAAGGACCAGGAUUGGACAAGGAGUUCGUCCUAGGGGACACCGUCCCGACAUCCAUUGGGAAAUUGAUUUUACUGAAAUUAAACCAGGUAUAUAUGGAUACAAGUAUCUCCUAGUGUUUGUAGACACCUUCUCAGGAUGGGUCGAAGCCUUCCCCACAAAGCACGAGACUACAAAAAUCCUCCAAGAAGCUCCUCGAGGAAAUCUUUCCCAGCCCUUCUCUGAGGGCCCAUUUACAGGCCCUACAGAUUGUACAGAGAGACGUCUGGAGACCUUUGGCCGCUGCUUACCAGGACAAGCUUGAACAUCCGGUGGUGCCACACCCGUUCCAGAUUAGAGACACCGUGUGGGUGCACAGACACCAGACCAAGAAUCUCGAGCCACGGUGGAAAGGACCCUACACCGUCCUCCUGACUACCCCGACCGCCCUAAAGCCUACUUGGGAUGACUGCCAACAGCUCUUACAGGCCCUCUUAACCUCAGAAGAAAAACAAAGAGUGUUCCUAGAGGCCAGAAAGCAUGUUCUGGGAGAUGAUGGGCGUCCCACCCAGCUGCCUGAGGAAAUUGAUGCUGCAUUCCCACUUAAGAGACCAAACUGAGAUUUUAAUACAGCUGAAGGUAAGGGACACCUACGCCUUUAUCGCCAGUUGCUUCUAGCGGGUCUCCGAGGGGCUAUACGACGCCCUACUAAUUUGGCUCAGGUAAAACAGGUAUUACAGGAAGCAGGAGAAACUCCCUCCGCCUUUCUAGAGAGAUUUAAGGAGGCCUACCGUAUGUACACUCCCUAUGACCCAGAUGACCCAGGACAAAUGACGAGUGUCUCUAUGUCCUUCAUCUGGCAGGCUGCUCCAGAUAUCAGGACUAAGUUACAGAGGUUAGAAAAUUUGCAGGGCUAUACAUUACAGGAUUUACUUAAAGAAGCUGAAAAGAUUUUUAAUAAGAGAGAGAAUUGAGUCGAAUCUUGGCCGCCGUAGUUCAGGGCCAAGAAAGGAAGGGAGAUAGGGGGGAGCUCGAAAGGGGCUGAAGCUGGAUAAAGAUCAAUGUGCCUAUUACAAAGAGAAAGGGCACUGGGCUAGAGAGUGCCCCAAGAAGCCUGGCGGACCCCGAAAGCCUCGACCACGAACCUCCCUCUUGGCUCUAGAUAAAGAUUAGGGAGGUCAGGGCCAGGACCCCCCCCCCCCCUGAGCCCAGGGUAACGCUUAAAGUUGGGGGGCAGCCGGUUACUUUCCUGAUAGACACAGGAGCCCAGCAUUCAGUCCUCACUCAAGCUUCAGGACAACUCAGCGACCGGACGGCCUGGGUACAAAGAGCUACUGGUGAGAAACAAUACCGAUGGACUACGGACCGCCGGGUUCAGCUGGCUACUGGUAAGGUGACCCAUUCCUUCUUACAUGUUCCGGACUGCCCGUACCCCCUGCUGGGCCGUGACCUGCUCACCAAACUAAAAGCACAAAUUCAUUUUGAGGAAGGAGGGGCCCAAAUAACUGGCCCCCACGGAACUCCCCUUCAAGUUCUAACCCUACAACUAGAGGAUGAAUAUAGACUAUAUGAACCGGGACAGGACAAGCCACAAUCCCUAGAAAUAAACACUUGGGUCACGAAUUUUCCACUGGCUUGGGCAGAGACUGGUGGGAUGGGGUUGGCGCUCCAACAGCCCCCCUUAAUUAUACAGUUAAAGGCCACUACAACUCCAGUCUCCAUAAAACAAUACCCCCUGUCACAUAAAGCUUAUAAGGCCUCACAUUACGAGGCUUCUAGAUCAAGGCAUCCUAGUCCCCUGCCGGUCGCCUUGGAAUACGCCUCUUCUGCCUGUUAAGAAACCCGGCACUGGAGAUUAUAGGCCAAUACAAGACUUGAGAAAGGUCAACAAGAGGAUAAAAGAUAUUCAUCCGACUGUUCCAAACCCUUACAAUUUGCUCAGUAACUGUUCACUGGAUGCAGAACAGGUUCAGUUUGGACCCGUAGUCGCCCUCAAUCCUGCCACCUUGCUUCCUCUACCAGAGGAGACAAAACAGCAUGACUGCCUACAAAUCCUCGCAGAAGUACAUGGAACCAGGCCGGACCUAUCGGACCAGCCUCUUCAGAAUGCUGACCACACAUGGUACACGGAUGACAACAGCUUCUUGGCAGAGGGAGAGCGAAAGGCUGGAGCUGCGGUCACUACGGAGGACAAAGUGAUUUGGGCGAAAGCCCUGCCUGCUGGUACCUCCGCACAACGGGCUGAACUCAUCGCCUUGACUCAGGCGCUCAAGAUGGCAAAAGGUAAGAGGCUAAAUGUAUAUACAGACAGCCGUUAUGCCUUUGCCACGGCACACAUCCACGGGGAGAUCUACCGGAGGCGGGGGCUGCUCACAUCUGAGGGUAAAGAUAUGGCUAAAAUUCUGGCCCUCUUAGAAGCCCUAUUCUUGCCCAAAAGACUGAGUACAUUGUCCAGGACACCAGAAAGGGCACAACCCAGAGGCACGAAGAAACCGGCUGGCCGAUGCCACGGCGCGAAAAGCGGCCAUGAGCAAACAAAUCUUGUCCUUAAAUAGCCCAGACCAACCCACGCCCCCACCAGUGGGACAAACCAGUUGGGUUUACGCCCAUGAGGACAUAGAGCUCCUAAAAAAAAAUGGGGGCCAUCUACCACCCUCAACUAAAACAGUGGGUCUACAAAGGACUUUUGAAUUGAUCUCCUUUUUACAUAAAUUAACCCAAUUGGGGUUUAAGAAGAUGAAAACCUUACUAGAUCGGGAAGAGAUAAAUCUGUGUUUUUUGAAUCGGGACAAAGCGAUACAAAAGGUGACUGAGAGUUGCAAAGUGUGCGCUCAGGUUAACCCGGGAAGGACCAGGAUUGGACAAGGAGUUCGUCCUAGGGGACACCGUCCCGACAUCCAUUGGGAAAUUGAUUUUACUGAAAUUAAACCAGGUAUAUAUGGAUACAAGUAUCUCCUAGUGUUUGUAGACACCUUCUCAGGAUGGGUCGAAGCCUUCCCCACAAAGCACGAGACUACAAAAAUCCUCCAAGAAGCUCCUCGAGGAAAUCUUUCCCAGGUAUGACAUGCCUCAAGCGUUGGGGUCAGACAACGGGCCCGCUUUCGUCUCCCAAGUAAGUCAGUUGGUGGCCAAAUUGCUGGGGAUUGAUUGGAAAUUACAUUGUGCCUAUAGACCCCAGAGUUCAGGUCAGGUAGAACGCAUGAAUAGAACAAUUAAGGAGACUUUCUCCAAACUUAUGCUUGCAACUGGCUCAAAGGAUUGGGUGGCCCUCCUUCCCCUAGUUCUAUAUCGGGCCCGGAAUACCCCGGGCCCCCAUGGUCUAACUUCUUUUGAAAUAAUAUAUAGAGCACCACCCCCAUUUGUCCAUUUCUUUGAUUCAAACAUUGCUGAUUUUGCUGACAGCCCUUCUCUGAGGGCCCAUUUACAGGCCCUACAGAUUGUACAGAGAGACGUCUGGAGACCUUUGGCCGCUGCUUACCAGGACAAGCUUGAACAUCCGGUGGUGCCACACCCGUUCCAGAUUAGAGACACCGUGUGGGUGCACAGACACCAGACCAAGAAUCUCGAGCCACGGUGGAAAGGACCCUACACCGUCCUCCUGACUACCCCGACCGCCCUAAAGGUAGACGGAGUCUCGGCUUAGAUCCACACACCACACGUCAAGGCAGUCCGGUCUGAGGAAUUGACUAAUCACAACACUACACCCCAGACAUGGAGAGUUCAGCGCACUCCAAACCCCUUAAAGUUAAAACUCCUACGUGGCUCCUCCUAGUCCUUUUGUGGCCUAGAGUCAGUGGGGGAAUAAGCCCCCACUAGACAGAAAUUUCUUGACCAAGUCGAGUGAAAGAUUUCACUCAAAGUUAGCAAAAAAAAAAAAAAAAUGGGGGAAUGAAAGACCCCAGCUUAGCAGCAGUAACGCCAUUUUACAAGGCUGUACUUAAGAUGACUGGUUCAGAGAAAGGUUAAAACACUGAGUACAAAACAGCUGCCAAGCAGGAUGUGUUUGGUUGAAGGCCUGGCAACAGGACGACUGCGGUUGAGCACCUGACAAUGAAAAAAGCCCCGGGAGAGGUCCCACACCCUGGUGGGGGGCCGAGUCAGUAGUUAUGUUCCAAGAAGGUAGCUAGGAAACUUGCCCCCGGGCUGAACCCUUGGGGGGCCGAGUCAGCCGUUAUGUUUCAGGAAGGUAGCUAGGAAACUUGCCCCCGGGCUAAACCCUUGCCAUAUUAGAAUCCACCAAUUAUAUCCCUGUAACCAUGCAUCUGCUUCUGUAUGCUUGCUUCUGCUCCCCAAAAUCCUAUAAAAGCCCAUCCUUGGUUCUGUGGGGCGCGCCAGUCCCCCGAGUGACUGAAGCGCCCGCAGGUGCCUGUGCCUGUGUAUCCCAACAAUAAACCAAAUCCUCUUGCUGAUUGCA